rnacentral:rRNA from 1 species
UAGGGAAUAUUAGAAAUGGACGAAAGUCUGAUCUAGCAACACCGCGUGUGCGAAGAAGGCCUUCGGGUCGUAAAGCACUUUUUGGAAGGAAUAGGAAGGAAUGUACUUCCAGAAUAAGACUCGGCUAACUACGUGCCAGCAGCCGCGGUAACACGUAGGAGGCAAACGUUAUCCGGAUUUACUGGGCGUAAAGCGCGUGUAGGUGGUACUGUAAGUAGGGCGUGAAAGCUCCUGGCUCAACUGGGAGAGGCCGUUCUAAACUACAGAACCAGAGGAUGGUAGAGGGAGGUGGAAUUCCAGGUGUAGCGGUGGAAUGCGCAGAUAUCUGGAGGAACACCGAUGGCGAAGGCGGCCUCCUGGACCAUUCCUGACACUCAGACGCGAAAGCUAGGGUAGCAAACGG